rnacentral:rRNA from 1 species
UACGUAGGGUGCAAGCGUUGUCCGGAAUUAUUGGGCGUAAAGAGCUCGUAGGCGGUUUGUCGCGUCUGCUGUGAAAAUCCAGGGCUUAACCCUGGACCUGCAGUGGGUACGGGCAGACUAGAGUGCGGUAGGGGAGAUCGGAAUUCCUGGUGUAGCGGUGAAAUGCGCAGAUAUCAGGAGGAACACCGGUGGCGAAGGCGGAUCUCUGGGCCGUAACUGACGCUGAGGAGCGAAAGCAUGGGGAGCGAACGGG